rnacentral:rRNA from 1 species
GGGUCAGUAGGUUCGUCGUGCCACCGGUACGUACUGGUCUCACUGAUUCCUCCUUCCUGAACAACCGUAAUGCCAUUAAUUUGGUGUUGCGGGGAAACAGGACAGUUACUUUGAAAAAAUUAGAGUGUUUAAAGCAAGCUAACGCUUGAAUACAUUAGCAUGGAAUAAUGAAAUAGGACGAUCGAUCCUAUUUUGUUGGUUUCUAGGAUUGACGUA